CCCAAUGUGGUCAUCUCUGACAGAAGGAAGUAUGAAUGAAUCUGAUAGGAUCUGAGCCUAGAAUAGACAUACAUCAUUUGCAGUUGCAUUCUGUGAUGGAAAAUAUCACUUUGCUAUAUUUAACUAUAAAAUAGCUAAAGAGUUAUUAUUAUUAUUAUUGAGACAGGGUCCUGAACUCAGUACGUAGCCCAGGCUGGCUUCGAGCUUGAGGCUACACUCCUGUCUCAGCCACCUGAGUGCUGGAAUUGAACCAUACACUACCAUGCCCAGCAAGGAGCAUUGAAUUCAAUUACAUACAGAGAAGAAAAGGGAGAUUUUGGGAAGGAAAGAGGAAGUUGUAAUCAGCGUUGAAGGGGAAGGAGGAAGAAGCAGUUGUAAGGGCAGUUGGAUCUGCAGUCAAAUUCUCUACCCCUGAGCUAGUCCUCCUGGCAAUUGCUGUACAAGAAAGUUGAUAGCAGUACUUCGUGCCAUAUGAAAACAACUAAUUUGCUUUUGAUGAAAGUAGGAAGAAACCCAAACUCAAGAAAGUAAAAUUGCUCCUGCAAUAAUAAUGUCACAGAAAUGAAAACCAAUUGAAAUAGGUCAACUUUGUCUCUAGCCUUGUGAAACUGGUGACUUCUCCAACCAGUUUAAUACUUCAUUCAUUUGAAACAGCAGCGGGAGCUGAAAAAGUCAACUGAAUUGUGGUUUUCAUGAGUCACAGAUAUUCAUCACAACUGCUUUCCAGCUAAACGAUAGAGGCAUCUCUGACUUUGCUGGAAUUCAUUACAGCAUUCCCUCUUCUGGCAGUGUGCAUACUUGCUUUCCCAUGCAGUUAACUCUCCACUGGGAAUUUUCCAAUCUCUUUGGGUUAGUAUUUUAAUAGCUACCUUCUUCAGCCAGGAAGCUGAGGAAACUUAAACUACCAUUCAUUCAGACUGGUAAAUAAAGGUUUUUCUGAGGACUGCAAUCACCAAGACAAUUUAAGAAAAUAUCCCAGAAGCAGGAGGAUGAAGAGAAUAGCCAAAGAAAAAACUUGAUUGAGAAAUGAUUUGCAGUCUAAAUUCUACAGUGUUUCCAAUGACCUUGAAAUAGAAAUGAAAGGUCAAUUUUGGUUUCAUGUUAAAGUUAGGAUCUUUCAUAACUUUGAGUUAGGAAAAGUUUUCUGCUCAAUGCCUAUGCAUGCCAUUAAACCUAACAAAACAAAAUUCUAGCAGAAUGGAGACUAGAUGAGAUAGUGCCUCAGAAUAUUCAGCUCAAAGAGGGAGAGAAUCAUUUUGUGUUAUUCUGUUUAUUCAUUCAUUAAUUCACUCAUUCAUCCACUCAUUCACUGAUUACCAAAUACCUUCCAUGUACAAGAUACCAGGUACUCAUUCAGAUCUUUCUGAAGCAAGGUCUUGCAUCCAGGUUCAUAUGUAAUAGAAUUUAUUCUUAUGUUAAAAAUAAAUCAGUAUUUUAAUCUUUCAUUAAACCACUGAAAAUACUUUUCUGAUAUUAUUCAACAUAUAAUUGAAUUUUUAUUAUGAGAAAUAAAAUAAAACAUAUACUUUUCUUUAGCAGUUUUACCAUGUGUUUAAAUAUUAUGUUCAUAAACCAUACAAUUUUAUAUUUCAGAGUAUUAUUAAAGAAAUGAAACAAAAUAUGUAUGUGCAUUGCAUUACUAAAAUAUGCUCCUAAAAUUUCUCAUUUAUCCAAGCCCAUUUUGGACUGUGAACUACUUGUAAGUCCAUGAACUAUUCAAAAUGAAAUAAUAUGUUUUGGAGAAAUAAGAACUCAAGUAAGUCCCAUUAUAAAUAUGAUUCCAAUUUUAUUCUCAAAACGGACCAUACCUUUACUAAAGUCCCAUAAGCCAUGUUAGAUCACAGUGACACUUCGUCAUGAAGGCAGUAAUAUUUGUAUUCUGUUUAUUAAUAGCAUAUUUUUAUAAAUUUCUUGAUAAUCUUAUUAUAAAUGAGGAUUGCAUACACAGUACCUUAAAGUAAUAGAAAAUAUAAAAUAUUUAUAAGGUUAAAAUAAUGCAUCAUUUCUUUUGUAAGGUUUUAUUUUCUAUGUUAAUUAUUUUAAGGUAGUUUAAAGAAUUUUCAUAUAAAGCUAGAAUAAACAGGUUUUAUUUUCUAUGUUAAUUAUUUUAAGGUAGUUUAAAGAAUUUGCAUAUAAAGCGAGAAUAAACAUUUAUUGAUAUGCUGAUUAAGAAUAAUAUACAAUAGACUAUAAUAAAUGAACACUAAAUUUUUUGACAAAACAUUAUAUAGAGAAAAAAAUCAAAUAUCUUGAUAUCAAGAAGUUUAAGAAAUAGGACUUUAGUAAUAUUUUAGGCUUCUCAUUUUAUUUGCUUCACAUGUAUCUUUAAAUAUUGCACUCAGGCUCUGAAUUCAUGAAUAAUGCUAAGUGCUGAAAGAAAUGAAAGAGAGCAAAUAACAGAACCAAUCACCUACAAAAUCACAAAAUCCCCCAAAAAGUAACUCAAUGCAUAGAAAAUCCAUUCACUGAUUGAAUACAUAUUUAUUGACUGUAUUGUGUUCCUCAUGUUAUAUUUACUGUGUAGUAUGGGUAUAUAAAUAUGGUAAACUAAAAAUGUCUAUUUUCUUGAUUUGUAAUUGUGUUGAAAUUUAAGUACAUGUGGAGGUGUAAAACUAGAUCAUACUGUGUUGGUUGUUAUACCUUCUAAAAUUUGAAUAAAUAUUUGGGGACCUAAAAA